AUCAAAUACAUGCAUCAAGAAAUUUCUAAUUGAUGGGUUUCCGAGCCAUAAAAGGUUGGGUGCCUUGCUUAGGGGCACAUUGGCAGUAGCAUCCUUUUUUCCCCUAUUCCACAAACUGCACCGUGUUGGUUCGGGAUACGCAACCCCUCCAUUAACCGGGGGCUGUUUUCUCCCUAUAUAACGUGUAAAUGCCUUUUUCUAAAUGGCUUCUUUGUUUGAAGAGUGAAUGUGUCUUUAAGAAGUUCUGUUCUCCAAUAGGACCGUUUUUAAUUGCGAUUAGGUGUACUUAAGGAGAAACAGGAAACAUGUGGAGAGGGAGUUGUGGUCACAUAAAUCUGCCACGUAGAAGCUCGUAACUCUUUACUUAUAACUGUCAUUUGCACACUAUCCAACAAAACACAUCGCACCAAAGAGACGAUACUGUAGGAAAAACUGUGCAUCUCGCUGAAACUCUGCCAGCCCUCCUUUGUUUUGCGGGCACACAACUAAACAAGGCAGCAAAGAACAUUGGUUGAAUAUCUAAGUGAAAGGAAUGAGUUGGUAUGCUGAGACGAGGGCUUCAGGCUCCGUAAUAGAAGCAUAGCUUUCUCUUUUCUCUAUUGUUUUUUGUUUUGUCUUCGAACUCAUUUGGUAGCACGCAACCCCCCCUUCACACACACACACACACACACACACACACACACACACACACAGACACACUAUCUUCUCUCUAUGUCCUUCCAAGUUGUGCGUACAGUGUAUUUGUGUGGGAGUCAGUGAUAACAGGUACACGUGGGUGAAAUUGGUUCCAGACGGGCUUUUAGUCUAAAUGUGCAGUCGCUGAAAAACGGCAAUAGCUCCUCAUACCAGCUGGGAAGGCAGGUGACUCAGUCAGGAGAUCUCUGAAGGGGGGAAAGGCGCCGAGGGCAAAUAGAGGGCAUGUAAAGCAGCGCAGGAAAAUGGAAAAUUCCAGAAUUGACAUGCUGCCAGCGGAAAGGAAAGAUGGAGGAGAUUGAAAACCGAAAGGGAUGCAUGAUCACUGAGCACCGGAGAAGCUGAAAAAGUGCGUAACAUAAUAAAGAAUCAACACUUGAAAUAGUAUAGGCACUUGCUAAUGAGUACAUAGUACAACAUGUCAAAUAGAAAGUCUCAGGUGAACACCCCUGAAAGUUAAGCAUCAAAAUAAUUAAAACUCAAGGACUGAUGAACUGAUAUCUAAGCUCAGCAAAGGCAGCUUAAACAUAACAUAAUGUAUAUCAAUGUAAUAUCGCAGUAUGAAGAUGUAAAUAAAUGAAAACAAAAAUGCAGAUGAUACAUAUCACAUAUCUUUUCUUUUAGGGCAAAGCUACAAGUUUUACAGGUGCAAUGCGAAAAGAGUAAUGCCUCUUUAAAAUAAAUUGAGUAUUACGCAUGCUGCAUUGUAAAUUACCUGCCAUAUGUCUUCACUGACGCCACUUUAUAAAUGUUUUAUAUUUGUGACUCUCACAGAUGCAUCCAAAUGUGUUCAAAACACGCAUACAGGUCCACUGGAAAGCUGGUCGGGUUUUUUAGUCUCUGACUGAUGAAAUAGAUCUGUAGUGAAGGAUAGUUAAGUAAUACCUUCACUAAUAUUAUAUUAUAUAAAGUCAAUGACUGUAUACUUUUGCAAUAUCCCACCUCCAACACGAUGAUUGAAUUGUUCCUCCAUGCAUUAAUAUUGUAUACUUUGUGUGCUGACACGCUGCAACCAUCAAAAACAAAUGAUUGUAAUUAUAAAUCCACAGCCUCGCUUUUUCCAUUUUGCAUAGAGGAACCCUGAAAUGGAUCAUAUGUAUGUAAUGUUUUUUUUUGUGAAUAAUUAAUCUGGUGGGCUGACUUCAGAAUACUAAACAUUAACAAUCGUCUAAAGUGCCAUUAGGGAGCAGUAAUAUCUGCAGCCCCGACCAAAACGAAUACAUUAUCAAUCCACAUUUCAAAUGUUGUCCACAGAAUCACCCAGGCGUCGGCGAAUCCCCCACCUGCGUGUUCCCGGCGAAUCCAUCAACGGCGACACACACGUGCGCGUACACCGUGGUUAACGCCGGGGCCGGCGGAGUGAUCCGUCUUGUGCUUGUGUUGUGGGUAAAUGGAGUUCUGUGUUGUACAGGCAGGCGUGCUCACUCAACGCCGCCCCCGCGUCUCCCCGGGCUCUGUUUCCAACCACGGCCGCAGAAAGGCAUCAAUCAUCUCUCAUGGCCAGACACUUGGAUGGACGUGGAAUAUUGAUAUGGCUUUCAAGAUGUGGGGCAUGAAUAUGAUCUAUGACACCUAUCUGCCUCGCUUUGCAGCCGCUCAGCAUGUAGCCGGUGACGCGUUGGCCGAGUGUUUAUUGCAAAGGCUUCUUACGGCUCAGAUGUUGCCAGAAUUUCUCAUUACAAAUAUUCGCAUUUCCCUAAUAAUAAAGCAAGCUUUUAAUGCUGUGAAUCGUUGUGUUCGGUGCUGCUUUGUGAAUGUGUGUGUGUUUUUUUUACACGCGUACAAAAGUGUGUCACAGUUUUACAAUUAACUGGUGAAUGGAAAGUUCUCCCUGCAGACGUCUCCUCAUUACCUGCUGUGUGUACUUGGAGCUCGCCCAUCGUUUCCCCUGGACUGGAAAAAAGAGUGUCAUCGUCACCGUAAAUAACAUUGUCCCUCCACCCCCCCCUUUUAUUUUCACCUGGCAGUCCUUGUGUGGUUUCCGCAGCUCUCCAUGCAUGAAGAUUUACUGCUUUAUAUAUCAUUUAGGAACUCAUUUAAAUCAACUCCCCUUAUGUUCAGCCAGAAACAAAGGAUGGUUCAGUAGAUGUAUUUCUCUACGUAAGGCGGCCGGACAGAGAUCUUGUCACAUAAAUAAAAAGUUGACUUCCGUGCACGUGUGUAAAUAUUAUAGUUACGCAAACACAAAAAUAAACACAUGAUGCCUUGAGAUCUAGGACGGCUACUGUCUCCCUCACAAAUGCCUUCCCAUUGAUAAGUGAGGAACAUGUCCUCCUUUAGCUGACAGACAAAAUGGAUUCCAUCCAAAAAUGUGGUUUCCUCCGCUCCCCCCAGCUAUGGAAAAGCGGGAGCUUGCAAAGGUUCAAAACAAUGUGCUUUGGAUGAGAGCAGAGCAGAUUUUACACAUAGAUAAAUCCGGCUUAGUUCUCUUGGAGGACAAACGGAAGUUGUCCUGUUUAGGUAAUGGUGACUUACGAUAUAAUUGGGUUUAAUGGUUUGAAAAAAAAAGUUUUUUUUGUCGAUGUGUUUCCACACAUCGACAACGAUCAAGUCCCUCUUUGUCCGUCUGCUUGUGUGUGUGCGUGUGUGUCUGCCGCCGCUCUGGGCGCCGCCGCCUGUCUCUUGACACCGUGGAUCUGUGGCAGGCCGUGAAAUUCGGACACGUGCGGGACGGCUCUCAACUAAGACUUCAUGCCUUUUUCGUUCACACCAAUAAGCUGCUCACAUCAAUGACUUUGACCGUUGUAGAGAUCUAAUAAGCACUUAAUCAAAAUGUUGAUUUUUCGUACGGACUCGCGAGUGUUCAAUAUGUGUCAUGUAAGUAUUUUGAACUACCUAUUUACUGCCAGCAUGCAGUGUAGGAAGUAUAGGACCGCCUGUUGAGCCAAGAACAGUUAACGGGGAAAUGUUCCUGCUGCCGGACAGACAUGGCAGAUAGACUGAGACCAUCUGUGUCCUCGCUCGCACCGAACAGGGGGACGAUGUCGAGGAAAGGGAUGAAAAGGAAAGGGAACGAUGCAGUAAAGCCCUCCAAAAACUGUUGGUGGUCACAGCCUGGUGCCCACAUCCCCCUAGCUGCCUUCAGGCUUGACCUGUGUAUGUCUAUUCCUCCCAGUCUGGAAACCUCUGGACACACACACACACACACACACACACACACUCUGUCACAAGUGCACACAAACCGAUCUCCUUGUCCUGCAAAUGCAGACAGGUGUGCAGACUCAGUCAACAAGAUUCUAACACCGCGCUUUCACGCCGUAUGCACUCACAUAAACACACGCUUCGCUGGUACCUGGGGGUGGUGGAGAGGGGGGGGGGGGAUUUAACAGACACAUACAGCAGGUCAGUUGUGCGCAGGUGCUCCCCUGCCGCUGAAGAUCCCACAUGAUACCCCACCGUUUCCCCACAUAAUCGCCUUCUUUCUUUUUCUGUGGUCCAGAUUACCUCUCAAACUGGUCUGUUUUUAGUCUGGUCUUUAUACUAUAACCCGGAAUAAAAAGACACCGUGCUAUAAUGCAAAUUGCAUUGGGCACCAGAGAGGAUGCAUAAGAUGCUGCUGAGGGACUCACCUGUGUUGCAGGGGGAAUAAGUAUCAAAGAUCCGUCAGCAGGAUUUAUAAGCACAGCUAUCCCCUGACAAAAAGGAGGACGUGAUGCCAGGUUUCUGAGAGCAUUGGAUAUGAAGCGAAGCAACAGUAAAUCUGCGUGGUGCACGGUUAGGAUGCUUUUCUCAUGAAAUCCAGGGAUUCCUGGUGGAAAACAGCUUGCAUAGUAAAUCUGUAUGAGGGUCAUAAAAAGGUCUAAUAUCUGAUGUUAUGCUAAAGAAGAAGAAUACAUAUUUCCACAUCCAGGGUUGUACAUCACAGCUGAUGUAUAACCGGUCGAAAUUCAAGACGGAUUGUGAUGUCUCACCACAUGAUCAAUAUAUCUCUGUCUCCCAGUUAAAUGAAAAAAAGACAAUCUUCUGCUAAUGUAUCUCCUUUAUUACUCGAAUUCAUCAUCAAGUGAGAUGAGAAAGAAAAGGAGGGCGGGUGGCAGCAGCUCGGCAUGUUGAAUAUGAACAAAGUGAGUCACACAUAACAGCCUGUCGGCUACAAACAGGGCAACCGAGCUUCCUCCCACCAUAUGUGGACGUGUGCUUCUGUAUGAAUAUGAUAAAACACACCAGAUUUUCAUCUCCAUCUUGUAUCUGAAGCGUGAAUCCCGCUUCAGGAGUUUGGUGUUGCCCUGCAGCCUUCCUUCGACUGCGGCUUUAAUUUUUGAUGAAUCCUGUAAUAGCUAGAAUAUAUUAAGGAAGUGGCCUUUGUGCGCGCGGCGACAGGCAUAUUGGGGGUGGGGGGGGGCUUCGCCAUAUGUUGCAAAGUGUGGAUGAAAUUGGCUUGGUCUCAAAUGGAGAGAAAUCUAGAGAAUUUGCUGGAGUCCUGGAGGGAAGACAAAGAGUAAAAAGCAGAGAGAAAAAAAUACACCCCGCUCAUUUCCUCAUCACCUCCAACAAAGCAAGGUAUUAAAGAAACACCUGUGGUUUGAGGGAUGAGAUACCCAGAGCUCCCUCCUUUUCCUCUCCCAAUUGAUUAAUCUUCCAUUUCCCCCCCCCCCCCCCCCCCUGCUGCUGCAUCCCUUUCUGGCCUGGGGUAUAAGCUCUUCCCCAGACAAAAAAAAAGAAAGGCAGAGAUGCUGACAUGUAAUAAAAGGGGCUGAGGCUGGUCUGGCUUAUUUCCCCCAUUUGAUGAGCAGACUGGAGAGAGGGAAGGAGGCCCCAUUUUUCUACAGCAGAGAUAUGAAAUGACUUACUAACAGAUGCUCGCUAAUGAAGUGUUGACAGGCAGGGUGAAGGGGCCGUGCAAAGCUACUGUAUGGGAAAUGAUUGAAAGAGGAGGGGAAAAAUGGAUGGUGAAAAGACGGAUGAGGGCAAGGGAGCAGUGUGUAUAUGUGUGUAUAUGUGUGUGUGUGUGUGUGUGUGUGUGUGUGUGUGUGUGUGCACAAGCUUAAGCUUCAGUUCUCCAACCUCAGAAAGUGUGCUGUGCUCGGUCACCAGGGGAACAGAUAGCUUUUAGCAGGCUACCCUGAGGUGGAAGAUACAGCUCAGCCUCCCUCUUUGCCUUCUCCUCGUUUCAUCUUUCUCCUUCGAAGCAUUUUUUCUUUGGUACCCCUGUGACACCGAGGUAGGUUUGAAUGGAAAUGAAAGCGUUCCUUCUCGGCAGACCUUUUGUUUCUAAAACAGGUGGUGUGAUGUUUUAAUGGCUGUGGAUAAAUAACAUGGUUAAUAUAGAAGUAUUUUUAUUUUUAAAUGAAUUGCAAACCUCUCAGCUUUGUUUCCCAUUUCCAUUGUUUCCCUCUGUGAUAAGAUCCGAGCCGGAUGGCAAAAGUCGGAGACCGACCCCCUGUGGGUGAUGAAACACAAGGACACACAUGGUGGGGGGGUGGGACGGCGAGGGGUCUGCUGGGCUGAAGUCCGACAGAGUAGGUGAAUCUUUUUAUGAAACAAGAGCUAGUUUGUCGGAAAAUGCGCACAGGAAAAGAGAAACAAUGGCCCACCCAUUGCUCCCUGGACCCACCCGUUUGACAAAUAGAGAAGCCACUUUUGAACUUUUUUUUUACAACUUCCGCCAUCCUGCUUUGAGUCUCACGGAUGCACAUCACAGGAAGCUCCUGAUCUCCCACGAAAGUUGUUUCUAACACCUUCUCCCUCUGCUCCCCUUUGUUCUCCGCAAUGAGCACCUAUGCUCUGCCGCCGCCUCCGCCAUUAGAGAACAAAUGUACCGAGCAACGGCAAUUUCUUUGAGGAGGCAUCGCCUCCUGCUGCUCCAGAUUACAGCUCAUUAGUAGCGGCGUCGGAGAGACACAGCCCACACCGCGGCUCCCCCCCGAUCCCCUCGUCGCUUCCUGCAAUCCCGGUGUGGCGGGACACCGUGACAAAAGCGGCGGAGGUGGUGGUUGUGACGGUGGGGUGUUUUGGACGGGGGGCAAAGACAAGCAGCGAGGGGACUCACAGUUCACCGUUUGCCAGCUGCUGGUGGAGAUGCGAAGAAGCGCUUCGGGGGACUGGAAUGGCGUUGAAGUGAAAGGAAUGCCAGGUUGUUGUCCAAGAGGACGGCGUGUCGCGUUGCUGGCUUGAUCGAGGUAGGGAUGAAAGAUUUGACUUUGGGAGACGAGCAAGAAGGAAUGUUAAUGUCUCUAUUUGACUCGCUGUCAACCCUUCCUGGGAAAAUGUCGGGGGUUAAUGAGAGGUCAUAGCGUCCAUGUACGGGGUCAUCAGCUCGGGCUUGUUUCCAUCAAUAGGCUACAGUUUGUGGGCUGCUUUGGCAGUUGGGGUCUUGUACAUGUUGCUCGUGUCUUUUGUCUUUUGUUUUGCAAGAAUAAAACACGUUGGGCGAGCUCCCCUCACGCUGUCAGCUGUGCCAGGCACGGCGCGGUAAUUGCCAUUGAACAGCUUUGUGUGUCUGCGCGUUCACAUCCUUUAUCUGUUUCCCUCUUCCUUCCUGUUGCAGAAGUCCAAUGGAGCUCGAACACAUCAGUCCCAGUCUCCUCACUAUCCUUGAAAAAGUUUUGGCAAAGUUGCAAAAGGAAACAGAUGCCAGAUGUGUGCGCUGUAUGCGGAGUCUCUUAAACUGAACCCUUUUCUUUGCUUUUGUUUAGUUAUUUCCUGGGAGAGGAAUGCAGACAGGUUUCCAUGUCAAUCAGGACACAAAGAGUCAAUAGCUUUGUAGCUAUUGUCGAAAUGGGUUUUAUUUCCAUUCACUAUAAAUACCAGUAUUUCACACAAGAGUAACAUGUUGAUUUUACACUGCAGCAACUACAGGGAAACGUCAACGGUUGGAACUUCUGGGAUGCGAAAGCAGAUUAUGACGAGUAAGAAUUGACCCCUCAGAUCGGGUCAGUUUCGGUUUGCAUCUUCUGCCUCUCCUCAAGGGGUCGGCCUCCGUGUACACGCGGUUGGAUGAUUUGCAUCCCCUCUAUCCACUGGGGCCCCAUCCAGACUGAAAAAGCCGGGACGAUAACAGUCACGUAGGCAGCGGGGGGGGCAACUAAUAAGAAAACAAGUCAGUCGGCGUGCCCCGUCCUUCGCCCACAAAGAGUUGCGAGCCAUGAGACUGCUGCCCGGAGCGGCUCUCCUUCCGCCAUCCGUAUCGCAACGUGACCUCUGACCCUGCAGUUACCCCGACAGGCGGCUGGACUCAUUCUGCCUCCAUGAACACUGGAGCACUCACCAUGCGAUACGUCAGAAACGAGAGGCUCGCGUUCCCAAUGUCAACAGUCAUCGAGCGUAAAUGACAUACUGACUAUCAGCUGUUUUCUGCAUCCAUAAUAACAUAUAUCUCAAUGUGCAUUUAUAUAAAAAAUAAAUACAGGUGAUUGAUGCUAUAAAGAUAGAGGAGUAAUACACAUUUUGAUUCUGGUGGCGAAAAUUUCUAAUUCCCUGAGCGUCCACAGAGGGUUAUGAAAUACGCCUCUUGACCCCCCCCCACAUUCAGCUGUUAUAGGAGGAUUUUUUUCCCCCUCCCUUAUUCCUUUCUUCCAUUUGGCUCUUUUCUCAGGCUAGUCUGACCGCCUCCGUCAGCACACAACCUCGGCUCAGCUGACCCCGGCGCACGGAGGCUCACCUCAGACCGCCGCCGGGGUCAAACCCAUUUCUCAGCCGGAGCUGUGCCGACUGCCUAAUGCGGCGCUCACGAAGCAAGACGUGUUCCUUUGUCCUUUCAUAGUCGAGGAAACUUGUCCAACUACUGUUGGUUCAAGGUCAGAUAUCAGCAACCUGGACUGAGGGCCUUCACAAAGGAGCAAUGUCAGUCAUGAACGCUCGAUGACCGGCCUUCAAGUGUAUCCGCCACGUCCCGGCGUUUGUCUCUGGAACACCCCCCCUCCCCUUCCUCCUCCGCCGUGACAUCCCUUACAUCCCGUACCCCACAAUGUGUCGGCAGGCCCGGGACGCUCCCAGUCUUGACAUUUCCCAUCCAAACAAUGGCGUCGUCAUUUGUCAAACCCCCCCCACUUCUAUAUCUGCCUCCCCUCCCGGCGUCCCCAGGGGGGAGCGUAGUGAAGCUGCGGUGUGAUAGGUGCCUGUCAGGGCCGCUGCGUUUGGGCGCACGCGCCCGUACACGCCGCGUGCGGUGUGAUAGUGACGGAUGCACUGGGCGUUGGAGCACUCGGAGAGAGUGAGUGCAUGUGACAGCCAGUCAAUCAAGCCGUGAUGAGAGGUAAUCACACAAUGGACAGAUCAAUUAGUUAUUUUCUCCCGAGACAAACGGGAGAAUAAACAGUACGGUUCUCCAGGUAAAUGAUUUACAUUCCAUCGCUCUCUCAUCUCCCCCAUUCGUCGUAUCUUCGCUCCUCCCCCUUUCCCCGCUCCUCCCGCUCUCGUCGCUCCACUUUAAAUUUGGCUGUUUGGUUGUUUAUCUCCGCUCAUUUGUCCCCCUGCCGUCUCUCGCUGGGAGUGGCGAGGUGAUCCGGACGAUCGGGGCUGAGUAAUGGUACAGGAGCUCAGCCCGUGAGCGAUGAGAGCGCCGCUUGGCUGGAUCAUUUAUAUUGAGCCUAGUGGAGAACAAACAUAUGCGUCUGAAAGCCAUCAGAGACACUCUGCGGCUGGCUUGAGCACAAGCACGCACAAACACAGGGGUACAAGGGGGGCACACUUUAGGACACGCUAUGCAUCAACCGCCAGCUCUGGUGACUCACCUCUUCCCUGUUUCCCUGUGACACGUGGAGGAAGUAACACGUGACCUGACAUGGGUUGAAGAGUUAUCGUCCCUUCUGGUUUUCCUGCCACCUAUUCCAGCACUGUCAGCUCACAUCAGCCACUUGAAUGGGAGGAUUUAGGGUUGUUAUGCAUGUAGGUCACGCGUUGUUGUUUUUUUUUUCCUUGUUGUGUUCACGAGCUGGAGCAGUGGACAUUCCCCGAGGUUGCGGAAAUGUGGUACAAUCUCGUCUCUCUCGCUGCAUAUCGCACUGUCCUUCGCACUCACUUAGAGGCGGAUUCAGUCGGUGCUUGUCGGAGCAAUUUCACCCGGCAAUCUUUAUUUACCGGAAUUCCACCCUGCGCACACACACACAAACUAAAAUGCACAUUUUUCUUUGAAACCAUCCUUGCAAACGCCUACACAAACAUCUUUGUAUAUAUGAAUACGCAUAAAUAUGAGCAUGUAGUUCUCACUGAUAUAUAAAAAACAUUCAGCGGUUCAUUUUCCAGUUAUCCGCCACACAGUCUUAUGUCCUGCAGUUGUGAUGUUUCUCAGGCAUCCGCCGUAGCCAGGAUACUCUACUCCGGUCUUCGCUCCAUCUUCUUCCUCUGUGUUUUGACAGGACCACACGGCGCUGCUGCUGGUUGCCAGAUUUUGGAUUAUCCCGCCUAACAAUGGGCCAAAAGGACCGUUUGGACCGUCUCUCCCUCCGAGCUGCCAGGGGCCGCUCUGCCCCCCCGGCCCCCCAAAGGCUCUCCUCCCCAUUGCACGCACAUGGACGCACGGCCUCUCUGGGACCAGGCUCCCCCCCCCCUCACAUUGAGACUGUUAUUUAACGUGUCCUUGUGUUUAUGGCCAUCCAGUGGCCCACAAGAGAGCCGGUGAGGUAUAUUCUCGUGCACGCACACACAUUUUUUUACACUUAACAAGCGCACGGCGGCCGGAGAAUAUUGUCGAUUUCUUUCAACUUGGCGAUUAAGAACGUGUACACAUGUGUGCGUUUGUGACGCUCUUUUUCCCCACAGUGACUUUUAUUAAGUUGGCUGUCCGCUGUGCGUCUGCAGAACCUGUCUUUGUGUUUGACAUCUGCUGGGAGCAACGCUGGAAUACGUGACCUCCAGGCGCGCAGACAGAACGUAACCAUGGUGGAGACCAGGAUCAGAUCACACUCCGGCUGUCAGAGUCACGACCCCAACUGGAUCAGAGUGAAACCCGUGAAAUAGAACCGGCGCUUUCAGCGUCAGAACCCCAAACCAAAUCUGUCACUCAAACGGCAAACGGAGACCCAGGAAAGGCAGGAGGAGCAAAUGGGAAAGAGAGGAAUUCCUAGAUAGAAAAAUAAGGUGAGAGUCACAGAGCGAGAAGGAAAUAAUAAGAAACACACACAGCAAAAGAGCGAGACGGGGAGAGAGAGACGGAGAGAGAGAGAGGAGCAGCUGCAAGUGUUCAAAGAGUAUUUUACAGAAGCUCUGCGUGUGGAAACUCCAUCACUGAGUUACACUCUGUUGCGUGUUCUUUUUCAUGGAGACACAAAGCAGCUCGGCGUGGCGCAGAGGGGAAAAGGUGCUUUACACACUGCCCUCACAGAGAGAGAGAUCCUGUGUGAAGGUCGCUCUCUCCUAGAAUAGCCAUUUGAAAUGAUAACUUUCGCGGCAAAAGUUGUGACAGUUUCAGUGGAUUGAAGUGGAGGCGCUGCCACCGGUGUUGCCAUUCAGCCCUUCCUCUUUGUAAAUUGUAGAACCAAGAGGAAGCAGCUUGUCAUGAAAGGACGUUAUUUACCAUCCGUUAUUCGCUCAUGGAAUGGAAUACUGCAGGAAUUAGAGGUUGAUUAUGAUGGAGAAAGUUUGGGAGGCUCAGAGAGUCGGAGAGACACACGGAGGAGGCUUGAUUUCCAUCGCCGUUGUUACCGCGUUGUGCUGCAGCUGGUGAUGAAUGACAGACAGAGAGUUCUCAGCUGGAGGAGGACGGCUAAUGGAAUUGUGCCGCACCAGCCCACGAGGAGAACACACUAGGUUCCUAUUAUUCUUUCUAAAUGCCAUGCCUUGUUAGGAGCAUCCGGCCUCACACACAGCGCGCUCUAAAAAGCCCAACAGAAAAGAUUAUGAUCACAUAUUGUCUCCGCUGACUCCUUUUGUUCUGAUCCAUUGAUUCAUGUUUUUCUUCUUUGUUGCCGCAAAUUAAGAGGGGAUGUGUAGUCGUGAUUGUGACUCUAAAUGCACUUUGGUCUAUUCCAGCCACUUUUCAUUUGGACGGUGUAGCUCAUGAGAUCGCAGAUGAGUUGCAUUUUUGUUCGGCGAUAAUGAGAAAUAUUGCAGCCACAAAAGCGAGCGGGUAGAAAGAGGACCUGAAAAGUGGCCCGUGCGCUGAUUCAGAUUGAGAAGUAAUUCUACGCUGGGGCCGUUCACCCGAGCGUGAGGUCGGCUCAGAUGAGAACGCUUUCGCGUAUCGCUCUCUCACGGCUGCCUGCCCUUGUGUCCUUCAGUCCGCACUGAUCCCCAGUGUUCCCUUCAACUGACCACAGCGCUUUCUUCAACAUGCUUUACAGUCCUAUUGAUUCACUGUCUCACCCACUUUAUUUACCUCAGGAACUAUGAACCGUUAAAUCAAAGCAAACAGGGGGAGAGGAUGAAGUCAUCAGAUAUAGUAGCAUUGAUUAUCCCCAUUAGUUUUCUGCUCACCACCCCACCCCCCCCAUGUCCCACUGUCCGUCCAGUGGAAUGAACUGUGGCCGGUGGCCGAGCAGCAAUGACAGACAAGCUCAUUACUCGGCGCUGAGUACGCCAAGCGGGCUGCCUUCUCACAGGCAAGGACAGAGGGAGCAGGGAAGGAGAAUAACAGCAACGAGGAGAAAAUGAAGACAAAGACAUCAAUUUAUCAUAGAUGCUAAACCGAAUCCAGUCCCUGGGUGCUUCACAGUCUGUCUCUGCAUUUCACAUCCCCCACGCCGCACCAUAUUCCUCAUUCCCCAGUCUGCAGCUUAAACCCCUUUAGAGGAUAUUAUGGUCCCUUGCCAUGAGGAAAGCCCAUUACUCCACCGACAAAGCUUUAUCCAUGGAGGUAUAGCUUUACUUUUUCCACUCCAUAUGUGUGUGUGUGUGCCCAUGAUAAUGUAACCAGAACCGCUACACUCGUGGAGGGUAAUGCCUGUAGCAUCUUGUUUACCGGAUUGGAAGCUCGAGACAGAGAGAUCAAUGAAAAGAUAAAAAGUUGACCUGUCGUGGUAGAAUAAGUGUAGUCUGACAUGUUUGUGAGGGGGCCCCCCCCACCGCCGACCCCGCCCCCCACAAAAGAUAAAGCAUUUUUAAGGACUUUCUAGACCCGUUAUCUUCCAAGGGAGCCUUUGUCUCAAUGAUUUACUUUAUUUGCAGUUUACAAUAAAGACAUCAAAGAUGGCUUGUUGUAUCUUCAGGGUAGUGGGCUUGUUUUAAACUCGUAUUCAAUAGGAAGUCCCUCCAUACUAAUGUACCCUUCUCCCUCUUUUCAUUUAUUUCUUUACUUCUUUCUCUUUCUACAUGAUGCCAGAUUGCCCUUCACUUCAGGUAAUGAAGCCACUCUAUCAAAGGGCUGUACCUCCACCCGCCUGCCGCAUACCUCCCACAAUAGACCACCGUUGUGGUCAAGCCACGCUACACUGCACAGCUUAAAGACACCAUUUGAUCUGUACCUUUUUGUCUUAGGUUUGAUUUUUCCACAAUAGCUCACUGUCACUUUAAAUAUAACUAAAUUACAGCCAUCACGCGUCACUCAUGCCACUUAAUAUUCUAUUGUCUCCAGUCAGGUUGUGUUGUUCUUGGCUGAAUGACCUUGAGAUCUGUCAGUCAGAAUGGAAGGUCCCCGGGAAGGAGGUGGGUGGGGGGGCUUUCUAACUCUCACUAAAGUACCUCACCAAACAAGUAGCCCCGUAGACCACCACUCCACCACUGAGGAGCUUUAUGGGCAUAAACAACAGCGAGACAAAUUCCUUUUCAGGAGCAGAUAAAAUCUCCCUAGUCAUCUAUUCACUGCCUUCCUGUCCCUCCAAAUGUCUGUUUGGUUUUUUUUUUCCUUCCAGAAGUGUGCUGAGUGGGGUCGCGGCAUCGGCGGUAGCAGCAUCUGUCAGUGAGGAAGGGGCCAAGGAGAGGGAGCGCCUCCUGUUUGUCUCCGCCGUCUCCAAGCCCCAGACCAUAGUCUUCCUGCUAAUUAACCUGCUGACACCUCCUUACCAUUUACAUUUUGGGGGGAGGUGGAUGGAGGCACAGCUGACAAAUGGCGAGUUGAUCACUAAAGCUUGCGGAUUAAUUGGACUCUGUCCCCUUUUCUAGCCACACGUUCGCAAGCUUACGCACUAGUGCAGUGGCCAUGGUUGUAAUAUUGCUAUUUUUCUUUAUUUACUUAAAGAAGGUUGAUAUAGCGCCCCCAUCUGCCCAAAUGGCACUACCAAAGCUAUAGACCAACCAAGUGGGAAGUAGAUCUGACAAACAGUUCUCAUACAAAGAAAUCACAAACAGACAAACAGUCAGAAAGAUUUAUAUUUGAAUCUCUACCAACUGCUUUUCUAAAUUUGUUAACGUGAGAUUCCCUUCCGUAUAACCCACUGCCAACGGGAAGGUAAAGUUAAUAUAAGAGACCUUUAGAAACCAUGUGUGAAGAAAAAGGUUUUCAAAACAAUUUUAUAAACCCACCUUACCAGGAGUAGUUUUUCACAUGUGACCAAGCAAGAGGAGGUAACAAAGAAAUGAUGGUGGAGCAAGGGAGCGGGGUGCAAACAUGCCUGCUGACAUGAACCGUGAGGUUAGAGAUGCAGAUGGCAAAACUGGCUGUGCCUCCUUCAGCAUCACGUUGCCAGAGCUGGAGCCAGAGAGCAGAACAUGUUGCACAGUCCAAGUACUAACCUCUUUAACGUGAAAGUUCAAUUUCCUAUCAUUUUCUUUUGCCAAUGGGCCAUUAGCAUCCAUUCUGACUUUUCCACAUUGUGAGAGCAAGUACUUUAGUUCAUCCUUUUGAAAAUGAGUUCCGGAAGGUAAUUGCAUCCAUGUUGCAUUUGGCGUUUUGUUCAUUUGGAGUUCUAAGUUAUAAAUGGGAGCUCUCACAGCGUAUGUUCACGUCAAGCUCUGCUGCUCCCUCUGCCACCACGGGCGACACGCACAUCGCUCACUCCCUCACAGGAACAGGCUAAUAAAUGAGCAAAUAGAAAGGAGGAGGUCCAAGAGGGGGGGUGGAGCGAGAACAAGGAAAUAGAAACAAGAGAAGACAGAGACAAAAAAAAAGAUCAGAGAUUACGACUCUGCAGAUGAAACAAAGGAAAGAAGAAAAAAAAAAUUGAAACUGGGGACGGAAUAAAGAGAAGGAGGGGGAGUUGUUGCUGAGUAGGCAGACGGGCAGAAAAAAUAUCCAGCCCUCCACCCAUCAGAGAGUUCAGCUGUUCAGAUGUUUGCUUGGCGGCAAAGGCAGACAGACAGAUUGCAGCCAAUGAUAUGUGUUGGUAACAUCUCAUAGAUGGACUAAUGACAGGAAGGGAGAAGCAGGCAGAUGGCUCCUGUCAGGGAGAUGCGUUGCAGUACCGUCCCAGUGGUCCGGGCUGAGACUGAGUGAACAUUUGGGAUUGAAUGGAUAAGUAAUGGUUAGUAUAAAGGAAGAAAAGAGGGAACCUGAGUUUCUGCUUUCCUUCUUGCUUGUAUGGGUGCAUGUUAAUAAAAACGCUUGGUUGAGUCUGUGGAUGAAAGGUUUGGCUACGGAAUUACCCUUUAUCCACCAAGGCAAUCACUAGACCUAACAAAUGUUUCACCAGGUACCUCGGUUACAAGCAGGUACCCCAGUUACAAGCAGGUACCCCAGUUACAAGCCGGUACCUCAGUUACAAGCCGGUACCUCAGUUACGAGCCGGUACCUCAGUUACGAGCCGGUACCUCAGUUACAAGCAGGUACCCCAGUUAAAAACAGGUACCGCAGUUACAUCGGUUACGAGCAGGUACCUCAGUUACAAGCCGGUACCUCAGUUACGAGCCGGUACCUCAGUUACAAGCAGGUACCUCAGUUACAAGCCGGUACCUCAGUUACGAGCAGGUACCUCAGUUAAAAGCAGGUCUCUCAGUUAAAAGCAGGUACCUCUAUUACGAGCAGGUACCUCUAUUACGAGCAGGUACCUCAAUUACGAGCAGGUACC
ensembl:lncRNA